AUACGUAGGUGGCGAGCGUUGUCCGGAUUUACUGGGUGUAAAGGGAGCGCAGGCGGCAGGGCAAGUCAGAUGUGAAAUACCGGGGCUCAACCCCGGGACUGCAUUUGAAACUGUCCGGCUGGAGUGCAGGAGAGGCAGGCGGAAUUACCAGUGUAGACGGGAAAAGCGUAGAUAUUAGGAGGAACACCAGUGGCGAAGGCGGCUUGCUGGACGACAACUGACGCUGAGGCGCGAAAGCGUGGGGAGCAAACAGGAUUAGAUACCCUGGUAGUCCACGCUGUAAACGAUGAAUACUAGGUGUGGGGGGACUGACCCCCUCCGUGCCGCAGUUAACACAAUAAGUAUUCCACCUGGGGAGUACGAUCGCAAGAUUGAAACUUAAAGGAAUUGGCGGGG
rnacentral:rRNA from 1 species